GGGUUGUGAGGUUAAGCGACUAAGCGUACACGGUGGAUGCCCUGGCAGUCAGAGGCGAUGAAGGACGUGCUAAUCUGCGAUAAGCGUCGGUAAGGUGAUAUGAACCGUUAUAACCGGCGAUUUCCGAAUGGGGAAACCCAGUGUGAUUCGUCACACUAUCAUUAACUGAAUCCAUAGGUUAAUGAGGCGAACCGGGGGAACUGAAACAUCUAAGUACCCCGAGGAAAAGAAAUCAACCGAGAUUCCCCCAGUAGCGGCGAGCGAACGGGGAGCAGCCCAGAGCCUGAAUCAGUGUGUGUGUUAGUGGAAGCGUCUGGAAAGGCGYGCGAUACAGGGUGACAGCCCCGUACACAAAAAUGCACAUGCUGUGAGCUCGAUGAGUAGGGCGGGACACGUGGUAUCCUGUCUGAAUAUGGGGGGACCAUCCUCCAAGGCUAAAUACUCCUGACUGACCGAUAGUGAACCAGUACCGUGAGGGAAAGGCGAAAAGAACCCCGGCGAGGGGAGUGAAAAAGAACCUGAAACCGUGUACGUACAAGCAGUGGGAGCACAGAGCAAUCUGUGUGACUGCGUACCUUUUGUAUAAUGGGUCAGCGACUUAUAUUCUGUAGCAAGGUUAACCGAAUAGGGGAGCCGAAGGGAAACCGAGUCUUAACUGGGCGUUAAGUUGCAGGGUAUAGACCCGAAACCCGGUGAUCUAGCCAUGGGCAGGUUGAAGGUUGGGUAACACUAACUGGAGGACCGAACCGACUAAUGUUGAAAAAUUAGCGGAUGACUUGUGGCUGGGGGUGAAAGGCCAAUCAAACCGGGAGAUAGCUGGUUCUCCCCGAAAGCUAUUUAGGUAGCGCCUCGUGAAUUCAUCUCCGGGGGUAGAGCACUGUUUCGGCAAGGGGGUCAUCCCGACUUACCAACCCGAUGCAAACUGCGAAUACCGGAGAAUGUUAUCACGGGAGACACACGGCGGGUGCUAACGUCCGUCGUGAAGAGGGAAACAACCCAGACCGCCAGCUAAGGUCCCAAAGUCAUGGUUAAGUGGGAAACGAUGUGGGAAGGCCCAGACAGCCAGGAUGUUGGCUUAGAAGCAGCCAUCAUUUAAAGAAAGCGUAAUAGCUCACUGGUCGAGUCGGCCUGCGCGGAAGAUGUAACGGGGCUAAACCAUGCACCGAAGCUGCGGCAGCGACRCUKAUGYGUUGUUGGGUAGGGGAGCGUUCUGUAAGCCUGYGAAGGUGURCUGUGAGGYAUGCUGGAGGUAUCAGAAGUGCGAAUGCUGACAUAAGUAACGAUAAAGCGGGUGAAAAGCCCGCUCGCCGGAAGACCAAGGGUUCCUGUCCAACGUUAAUCGGGGCAGGGUGAGUCGACCCCUAAGGCGAGGCCGAAAGGCGUAGUCGAUGGGAAACAGGUUAAUAUUCCUGUACUUGGUGUUACUGCGAAGGGGGGACGGAGAAGGCUAUGUUGGCCGGGCGACGGUUGUCCCGGUUUAAGCGUGUAGGCUGGUUUUCCAGGCAAAUCCGGAAAAYCAAGGCUGAGGCGUGAUGACGAGGCACUACGGUGCUGAAGCAACAAAUGCCCUGCUUCCAGGAAAAGCCUCUAAGCAUCAGGUAACAUCAAAUCGUACCCCAAACCGACACAGGUGGUCAGGUAGAGAAUACCAAGGCGCUUGAGAGAACUCGGGUGAAGGAACUAGGCAAAAUGGUGCCGUAACUUCGGGAGAAGGCACGCUGAUAUGUAGGUGAAGUCCCUCGCGGAUGGAGCUGAAAUCAGUCGAAGAUACCAGCUGGCUGCAACUGUUUAUUAAAAACACAGCACUGUGCAAACACGAAAGUGGACGUAUACGGUGUGACGCCUGCCCGGUGCCGGAAGGUUAAUUGAUGGGGUYAGCGCAAGCGAAGCUCUUGAUCGAAGCCCCGGUAAACGGCGGCCGUAACUAUAACGGUCCUAAGGUAGCGAAAUUCCUUGUCGGGUAAGUUCCGACCUGCACGAAUGGCGUAAUGAUGGCCAGGCUGUCUCCACCCGAGACUCAGUGAAAUUGAACUCGCUGUGAAGAUGCAGUGUACCCGCGGCAAGACGGAAAGACCCCGUGAACCUUUACUAUAGCUUGACACUGAACAUUGAGCCUUGAUGUGUAGGAUAGGUGGGAGGCUUKGAAGUGUGGACGCCAGUCUGCAUGGAGCCGACCUUGAAAUACCACCCUUUAAUGUUUGAUGUUCUAACGUUGACCCGUAAUCCGGGUUGCGGACAGUGUCUGGUGGGUAGUUUGACUGGGGCGGUCUCCUCCUAAAGAGUAACGGAGGAGCACGAAGGUUGGCUAAUCCUGGUCGGACAUCAGGAGGUUAGUGCAAUGGCAUAAGCCAGCUUGACUGCGAGCGUGACGGCGCGAGCAGGUGCGAAAGCAGGUCAUAGUGAUCCGGUGGUUCUGAAUGGAAGGGCCAUCGCUCAACGGAUAAAAGGUACUCCGGGGAUAACAGGCUGAUACCGCCCAAGAGUUCAUAUCGACGGCGGUGUUUGGCACCUCGAUGUCGGCUCAUCACAUCCUGGGGCUGAAGUAGGUCCCAAGGGUAUGGCUGUUCGCCAUUUAAAGUGGUACGCGAGCUGGGUUUAGAACGUCGUGAGACAGUUCGGUCCCUAUCUGCCGUGGGCGCUGGAGAACUGAGGGGGGCUGCUCCUAGUACGAGAGGACCGGAGUGGACGCAUCACUGGUGUUCGGGUUGUCAUGCCAAUGGCACUGCCCGGUAGCUAAAUGCGGAAGAGAUAAGUGCUGAAAGCAUCUAAGCACGAAACUUGCCCCGAGAUGAGUUCUCCCUGACUCCUUGAGAGUCCUGAAGGAACGUUGAAGACGACGACGUUGAUAGGCCGGGUGUGUAAGCGCAGCGAUGCGUUGAGCUAACCGGUACUAAUGAACCGUGAGGCUUAACCUUACAACGCCGAAGRUGUU
rnacentral:rRNA from 1 species